UACGGGGGGAGCAAGCGUUGUUCGGAUUUACUGGGCGUAAAGGGCGCGUAGGCGGCCUGUGCAAGUCAGUUGUGAAAUCUCCGAGCUUAACUCGGAAAGGUCAACUGAUACUGCUCGGCUAGAGUGCGGAAGGGGCAACUGGAAUUCUUGGUGUAGCGGUGAAAUGCGUAGAUAUCAAGAGGAACACCUGCGGCGAAAGCGGGUCUCUGGACAGUUCCUGACGCUGAGGCACGAAGGCCAGGGGAGCAAACGGG
rnacentral:rRNA from 1 species